CUUGGUCAUUUAGAGGAAGUAAAAGUCGUAACAAGGUCUCCGUUGGUGAACCAGCGGAGGGAUCAUUACCGAGUUUACAACUCCCAAACCCCUGUGAACAUACCACUUGUUGCCUCGGCGGAUCAGCCCGCUCCCGGUAAAACGGGACGGCCCGCCAGAGGACCCCUAAACUCUGUUUCUAUAUGUAACUUCUGAGUAAAACCAUAAAUAAAUCAAAACUUUCAACAACGGAUCUCUUGGUUCUGGCAUCGAUGAAGAACGCAGCAAAAUGCGAUAAGUAAUGUGAAUUGCAGAAUUCAGUGAAUCAUCGAAUCUUUGAACGCACAUUGCGCCCGCCAGUAUUCUGGCGGGCAUGCCUGUUCGAGCGUCAUUUCAACCCUCAAGCUCAGCUUGGUGUUGGGACUCGCGGUAACCCGCGUUCCCCAAAUCGAUUGGCGGUCACGUCGAGCUUCCAUAGCGUAGUAAUCAUACACCUCGUUACUGGUAAUCGUCGCGGCCACGCCGUAAAACCCCAACUUCUGAAUGUUGACCUCGGAUCAGGUAGGAAUACCCGCUGAACUUAAGCAUAUCAAUAAGCGGAGGA
rnacentral:rRNA from 1 species